GUACACUCCUGCGGGAGGCAGCAGUGAGGAAUAUUGGACAAUGGGUGGAAGCCUGAUCCAGCCAUCCCGCGUGCAGGAAGACGGCCCUAUGGGUUGUAAACUGCUUUUAUCUGGGGAUAAACCUACUUACGUGUAAGUAGCUGAAGGUACCAGAAGAAUAAGCACCGGCUAACUCCGUGCCAGCAGCCGCGGUAAUACGGAGAGUGCAAGCGUUAUCCGGAUUUAUUGGGUUUAAAGGGUCCGUAGGCGGACUGAUAAGUCAGUGGUGAAAUCCGACAGCUUAACUGUCGAACUGCCAUUGAUACUGUUAGUCUUGAGUAAGGUUGAAGUGGCUGGAAUAAGUAGUGUAGCGGUGAAAUGCAUAGAUAUUACUUAGAACACCAAUUGCGAAGGCAGGUCACUAAGUCUUAACUGACGCUGAUGGACGAAAGCGUGGGGAGCGAACAGGAUUAGAUACCCUAGUAGUCCCAU
rnacentral:rRNA from 1 species